rnacentral:misc_RNA from 1 species
AACCAUAGAAACCUGCGGAGUACCUGCGGAGGGAUCAUUACGAAAUUCGGGGCGCUUCGGCGCUCCUUAUUCACCCAACCCUCUGUCUACGUGCACCUUCAUAGCUUCCUCGGCGGGCUCGCCCGCCGCCAGGAACCCACGAAACCCCUUGCAUUAUUGUACACGAAAACUUCUGAUAACAAACCUAAAUUAUCACAACUUUUAACAACGGAUCU